ACCUACAGACCUCUUCUGGUCCCUGGGGUCUGUUCCUUGAUUUCCUUACUGCCUCCUGGCUCCUGGGCAGAAUUACUUUUCUCCUAGGGACUAUUUGCUACUUGUGUGGCUAUGAUGGAGACAGUCCCAAGUGCAACCCUGUUUCAAGAUUUGUGGAAAUUCAAAUACUUUCCACCCCAUCCUGCCCUGAGUCAAAGAGAAACUACCAUCACCACUCACCCCAAAACCGGGGGUUGGGACAGCACGGCCUCUUCAAUAACUGGUGCUGGGCCAGCUGGACAUGCAUCUGGAAAAAACGCCAACUCCAACCUAACACCAUACACAAAGGUAUGAGCUGUAUUUCCAAACCACUCACUUAUGAUCUGCCACAGGAGAUUUAGUGUUCUGGAAAAGACUCCUGAGAUAAACGGCCCUUGAACUUCGAUGAAAAGACCCUUAGAAGAUAUUUCCAGCCGGAGGCUCCACAUAACCCAGGUCUCAGAGCUCCCGGCAAGCCCUCACAGGGCUGUCCAAGAAGACUUCUGUGCUCCAGCCGCAGCUGAGGCCAGUGGAAGCUUCCAUCCUGUCAACGAUGGCCCCUUAGGGACAAGGGGGCAGGGAAGAGCAGGAGGAAUGUGUCCUCGUGAUCACCAUCUGCUGAGGGGAGCCCACUGGAGUUUUAGAUCCUCCCUCCCAAGCCAGAAGUUUCUUCUUGGAAGGGAAGGUGGAGGACAGCUGAAGCUGGGGAAAGACUGUUAAUGCCAUCAGGGCCCCUCCUCCAUUUGCAGUUCUGGAGGAGCUGGGAGCCUCCUCUGAAACGGAAGAAUAUCGUGGAGAUGGAGUGGUUGGGAGAGAAGCCCACAUUCAGUUCGUGGAUGCUGUCCUCUUCGUCACCAUUAACCCCACCGAGCAGAGCGGUCACAGCCUCCCUGGGCUCUCCAUGCCUUCCAUGCCAGUGCUCUGAGACAUUCCAGAUCUUCAGUCAAGCUCUUCUCCUCCUCCAUUCUCAGAGCCUGAAGAAGAAUUUCUGCCUGCAGAAAGUCAACUGCUUUUUCCAGCGCAGGGCAGAACCGACCUUGGAGUCCUGGAGAGUUCCAGGGGUCCUGUAAGGCCGCGGCUGUUCACUUCCCUUCAAUAAAUUUUCCUGCACUUGUCCUGGUUGGAUGUUCUCUUCUGCUGUCAGGGUCAUUGAGGGGAGGUGCAGGGCCUGAAGAAGAUCUCUGCCUAGAUGAAGUCCAGCUGCUUCCUCCGAAAGACCCGUGUUUCUAUAUGUGGCCUUGUGGGGCAACAAGUAGGGAUUUUAAGGCCAGAAAAUCAGAGCAAAGGGUCAGAGGGGCAACCGAUGUCCGUGGCCCUGGAGAACAGCUGGACCUCCGUGCACCCAGAACCAGCUGUCUUGCUUCUUUCUCCUUUUUUUCACUUUCUUCUCCUGCCUCAGAUGCCUUAUUGGCCCCCUUUUCUCACUCCCUACCCGCUUUUCACUAGGAUGUUUAAAUCUUCAGCUCCCUACUUCUCUUCACUGAAGUCUGUCCCCG
rnacentral:lncRNA from 1 species